rnacentral:rRNA from 1 species
UGGGGAAUUUUGGACAAUGGGGGAAACCCUGAUCCAGCCAUCCCGCGUGUGCGAUGAAGGCCUUCGGGUUGUAAAGCACUUUUGGCAGGAAAGAAACGUCAUGGGUUAAUACCCCGUGAAACUGACGGUACCUGCAGAAUAAGCACCGGCUAACUACGUGCCAGCAGCCGCGGUAAUACGUAGGGUGCAAGCGUUAAUCGGAAUUACUGGGCGUAAAGCGUGCGCACGCGGUUCGGAAAGAAAGAUGUGAAAUCCCAGAGCUCAACUUUGGAACUGCAUUUUUAACUACCGGGCUAGAGUGUGUCAGAGGGAGGUGGAAUUCCGCGUGUAGCAGUGAAAUGCGUAGAUAUGCGGAGGAACACCGAUGGCGAAGGCAGCCUCCUGGGAUAACACUGACGCUCAUGCACGAAAGCGUGGGGAGCAAACAGG